CUGGGUGUACCUUACUUUAUUAAACUGAUCAGAAAACAAAUGCAAGGUAUUAAAUAAUAAUGAUUUCUUGCACAAACAGCCAUCAGUGGCCUAUGUACAUACCACGCCGGGUCUGCCUUCAGGCUGGGAAGAAAGAAAAGAUGCUAAGGGGCGCACAUACUAUGUCAAUCAUAACAAUCGAACCACAACUUGGACUCGACCUAUCAUGCAGCUUGCAGAAGAUGGUGCAUCCGGAUCAGCCACAAACAGUAACAACCAUCUAAUCGAGCCUCAGAUCCGCCGGCCUCGUAGCCUCAGCUCGCCAACAGUAACUUUAUCUGCCCCGCUGGAGGGUGCCAAGGACUCACCCGUACGUCGGGCUGUGAAAGACACCCUUUCCAACCCACAGUCCCCACAGCCAUCACCUUACAACUCCCCCAAACCACAACACAAAGUCACACAGAGCUUCUUGCCACCCGGCUGGGAAAUGAGGAUAGCGCCAAACGGCCGGCCCUUCUUCAUUGAUCAUAACACAAAGACUACAACCUGGGAAGAUCCACGUUUGAAAUUUCCAGUACAUAUGCGGUCAAAGACAUCUUUAAACCCCAAUGACCUUGGCCCCCUUCCUCCUGGCUGGGAAGAAAGAAUUCACUUGGAUGGCCGAACGUUUUAUAUUGAUCAUAAUAGCAAAAUUACUCAGUGGGAAGACCCAAGACUGCAGAACCCAGCUAUUACUGGUCCGGCUGUUCCUUACUCCAGAGAAUUUAAGCAGAAAUAUGACUACUUCAGGAAGAAAUUAAAGAAACCUGCCGAUAUCCCCAAUAGGUUUGAAAUGAAACUUCAUAGAAAUAACAUAUUUGAAGAGUCCUAUCGGAGAAUUAUG
rnacentral:sRNA from 1 species